GAAGACUGUUUGGGCACAUUCUUUGGUUGUGCUGCACUUAAUCUCACAUUCACAAUCUUUUCAAGUGCAGCUUUAGUUUCAUGUGUUGUUUCCUCAAUCUCUUUCUGCAAAUCCUCAUCCUCAUCCGCAUCUCUAUCCUCAUCAUUCCUCAACAUCUUUGGAAUCAGAUCCUUAUGUUGAGAAUAAACAAUUUUCUUUGCAUUCUCAUUUUGCUUCACAAUGGCAUCAUA
rnacentral:misc_RNA from 1 species